GUUAGCACAGUGGAUAAGGCGCUCGCCUGCCUCCUCGGAGAUCGCGUGUUCGAGUCCCACUGGCGGC
rnacentral:tRNA from 1 species